UACAGAGGGUGCGAGCGUUGUCCGGAAUCACUGGGCGUAAAGGGCGCGUAGGCGGUCUGCUAAGCGUGUGGUGAAAGCCCGGGGCUCAACCCCGGGUCGGCCGUGCGAACUGGCGGACUGGAGCUUGUCAGAGGCAGGCGGAAGUUCCGGGUGUAGCGGUGGAAUGCGUAGAGAGUCCGGGAAGAACGACCGGUGGCGAAGGCGGCCUGCUGGGACAGUGC
rnacentral:rRNA from 1 species